UGGCGGCAGGCCUAACACAUGCAAGUCGAGCGGUAGCACAGAGAGCUUGCUCUCGGGUGACGAGCGGCGGACGGGUGAGUAAUGUCUGGGAAACUGCCUGAUGGAGGGGGAUAACUACUGGAAACGGUAGCUAAUACCGCAUAACGUCGCAAGACCAAAGUGGGGGACCUUCGGGCCUCAUGCCAUCAGAUGUGCCCAGAUGGGAUUAGCUAGUAGGUGGGGUAACGGCUCACCUAGGCGACGAUCCCUAGCUGGUCUGAGAGGAUGACCAGCCACACUGGAACUGAGACACGGUCCAGACUCCUACGGGAGGCAGCAGUGGGGAAUAUUGCACAAUGGGCGCAAGCCUGACGCAGCCAUGCCGCGUGUGUGAAGAAGGCCUUCGGGUUGUAAAGCACUUUCAGCGGGGAGGAAGGCGUUAAGGUUAAUAACCUUGGCGAUUGACGUUACCCGCAGAAGAAGCACCGGCUAACUCCGUGCCAGCAGCCGCGGUAAUACGGAGGGUGCAAGCGUUAAUCGGAAUUACUGGGCGUAAAGCGCACGCAGGCGGUCUGUCAAGUCGGAUGUGAAAUCCCCGGGCUCAACCUGGGAACUGCAUUCGAAACUGGCAGGCUAGAGUCUUGUAGAGGGGGGUAGAAUUCCAGGUGUAGCGGUGAAAUGCGUAGAGAUCUGGAGGAAUACCGGUGGCGAAGGCGGCCCCCUGGACAAAGACUGACGCUCAGGUGCGAAAGCGUGGGGAGCAAACAGGAUUAGAUACCCUGGUAGUCCACGCCGUAAACGAUGUCGAUUUGGAGGUUGUGCCCUUGAGGCGUGGCUUCCGGAGCUAACGCGUUAAAUCGACCGCCUGGGGAGUACGGCCGCAAGGUUAAAACUCAAAUGAAUUGACGGGGGCCCGCACAAGCGGUGGAGCAUGUGGUUUAAUUCGAUGCAACGCGAAGAACCUUACCUGGUCUUGACAUCCACAGAACUUUCCAGAGAUGGAUUGGUGCCUUCGGGAACUGUGAGACAGGUGCUGCAUGGCUGUCGUCAGCUCGUGUUGUGAAAUGUUGGGUUAAGUCCCGCAACGAGCGCAACCCUUAUCCUUUGUUGCCAGCGGUUCGGCCGGGAACUCAAAGGAGACUGCCAGUGAUAAACUGGAGGAAGGUGGGGAUGACGUCAAGUCACCAUGGCCCUUACGACCAGGGCUACACACGUGCUACAAUGGCAUAUACAAAGAGAAGCGACCUCGCGAGAGCAAGCGGACCUCAUAAAGUAUGUCGUAGUCCGGAUUGGAGUCUGCAACUCGACUCCAUGAAGUCGGAAUCGCUAGUAAUCGUAGAUCAGAAUGCUACGGUGAAUACGUUCCCGGGCCUUGUACACACCGCCCGUCACACCAUGGGAGUGGGUUGCAAAAGAAGUAGGUAGCUUAACCUUCGGGAGGGCGCUUACCACUUUGUGAUUCAUGACUGGGGUGAAAUC
rnacentral:rRNA from 1 species